ensembl:lncRNA
ACAUACAGCCAAGUAUGGUGACCCAUACUCAGAAUUCGUGCUCUGCAUAUAACCCAUCCAAAGCGCACACACACAGCAGUGAACACACAUACACCGUGACCACACACCUGGAGCAGUGGGCAGCCAUUUAUGCUGUGGCGCCCGGGGAGCAGUUGGGGGUUCGGUGCCUUGCUCAAGGGCACCUCAGUGGUGGUACUGCCGGCCCGAGACUUGAACCCACAACCUUAGAGUUAGGAGUCAAACUCUCUAACCAUUAGGCCACGAUUUCUUGUGAAUGUGGCAUUAAGAAUCCUGAAGCACUCUCAUCAACUAGGCUCAGGAAACACAUAGCAACCAUGUCAAAAAUUCUUAACCAUGAUGAGAAUGAAGCAGAUCAGCUGGCUGAUUUCCUCGGUCAUGAUAUCAGAAUACACAGACAGUAUUACCGGUUACCAGAGGGGACUUUGCAGCUCGCAAAGAUGAGCAAAGUCUUGAUGGCAAUGGAAAAAAAGACACUGUCAUCCUUUAAAGGAAAGCGCCUUGAUGACAUUAAAAUCGACCCUAAUGGUAAGAGUAUAACUCUUUUUUUUUUUUUGAUGGAUAGGAGUGUUUUUUUUUUUUUUUUUUUUUGUAGAGCAACUUGAGGCACAAGACAAUGCCAUGUCAAGUGAUGAGGAGGAUGCAGACGAAGAGAGCUGCAGUGAGUUCCCUCAGACAACUGCACCAGCGGACACUGAGCAACAAUCUGUUUCACUGAAAGAUCAAGGUUCAUCAAUCCCUUCAAAAAGAAAAUGGGAGGACUCUGAGGUAAAAGCAGUUGAAAAACAUAUGAUGAAGUGCAUAAAGACCUGCAGAGUUCCUGGUAAGCAAGACUGUGAGAGAUGCAUUAAAGCAGAGUCAGAAGCCUUAAAGGAACGAACAUGGACUGGUGUGAAAAAUUAUGUGUGGAACAGGAUCACAACUUUAAAAAAAGAGGUGGAUUUUAGAGGAUACAAUGCCUUUUACUGUAAAGUGAAGAACAUGUUCAGGAAAAUGUUUAAAGCAUUAAUACCAUUAAGACCAUUUCAAACUUUAAUAACUUCUGUAAGGCCCUGUUAUACCCCAUUUUAACACUUUCCACAUCAUGUUCAUCAUUUAAAGAAAUUAGAUAAAAGUUUAAGUAGAAAGAUGUAUUAAGAGGAAGAAUUUGUUUGAGGAUGGAAGGAAACAAAAUGUUAACGAAGUAAACGAGACAGGAGAAGAGAGCGGAGUAAACGUAAUAUUGAAGUGAUGGAUUAUGAGAAAGGAUGAAUAGUCUAGAAAAAGACACUGCACUGACAAAUUUUUCAUUGUUUUUAUUGUUCAGUUCAUUUUAGCAUGUUGCCUUUGCUAUUUCAGAUGUGCACUUUCACAAUGUGUGAAUAUUGUUUAUUUGAUCAGUAAUCACAAUUGUUUAAUGUAGUCAGAAGAUCACAUGGAUCAGCAGAAGUAAAGGGAUGAAAGAGGGAGGAGUGUAGGUAAAGGGGAAGAAAAGGAGGAGCCAAGGUAAAGCAGAAUAAAGAGUGAGGAGUGUAGGUGAAGAGGUAUGUU